rnacentral:snoRNA from 1 species
GAAAAUGGACAAUAGUGCAUCUCACUGCAGCCCUGGGCAGGUGCUUUUCCCAUCUGCGAAAGAAGCCUUCCGGGUGCUGUGGCCACCUCGACCCAACCUGUUGGGUGAUACAACUGCCCCCAGGGACACAGGG